UGAUCUUUCAUUACUGGCCAUACAUGCUG
rnacentral:piRNA from 1 species